UUAAAUUGAAGAGGUUGAUCAUGGCUCAGAUUGAACGCUGGCGGCAUGCCUAACACAUGCAAGGCGAACGGUAACAGGAAGCAGCUUGCUGCUUUGCUGACGAGUGGCGGACGGGUGAGUAAUGUCUGGGAAACUGCCUGAUGGAGGGGGAUAACUACUGGAAACGGUAGCUAAUACCGCAUAACGUCGCAAGACCAAAGAGGGGGACCUUCGGGCCUCUUGCCAUCGGAUGUGCCCAGAUGGGAUUAGCUAGUAGGUGGGGUAACGGCUCACCUAGGCGACGAUCCCUAGCUGGUCUGAGAGGAUGACCAGCCACACUGGAACUGAGACACGGUCCAGACUCCUACGGGAGGCAGCAGUGGGGAAUAUUGCACAAUGGGCGCAAGCCUGAUGCAGCCAUGCCGCGUGUAUGAAGAAGGCCUUCGGGUUGUAAAGUACUUUCAGCGGGGAGGAAGGGAGUAAAGUUAAUACCUUUGCUCAUUGACGUUACCCGCAGAAGAAGCACCGGCUAACUCCGUGCCAGCAGCCGCGGUAAUACGGAGGGUGCAAGCGUUAAUCGGAAUUACUGGGCGUAAAGCGCACGCAGGCGGUUUGUUAAGUCAGAUGUGAAAUCCCCGGGCUCAACCUGGGAACUGCAUCUGAUACUGGCAAGCUUGAGUCUCGUAGAGGGGGGUAGAAUUCCAGGUGUAGCGGUGAAAUGCGUAGAGAUCUGGAGGAAUACCGGUGGCGAAGGCGGCCCCCUGGACGAAGACUGACGCUCAGGUGCGAAAGCGUGGGGAGCAAACAGGAUUAGAUACCCUGGUAGUCCACGCCGUAAACGAUGUCGACUUGGAGGUUGUGCCCUUGAGGCGUGGCUUCCGGAGCUAACGCGUUAAGUCGACCGCCUGGGGAGUACGGCCGCAAGGUUAAAACUCAAAUGAAUUGACGGGGGCCCGCACAAGCGGUGGAGCAUGUGGUUUAAUUCGAUGCAACGCGAAGAACCUUACCUGGUCUUGACAUCCACGGAAGUUUUCAGAGAUGAGAAUGUGCCUUCGGGAACCGUGAGACAGGUGCUGCAUGGCUGUCGUCAGCUCGUGUUGUGAAAUGUUGGGUUAAGUCCCGCAACGAGCGCAACCCUUAUCCUUUGUUGCCAGCGGUCCGGCCGGGAACUCAAAGGAGACUGCCAGUGAUAAACUGGAGGAAGGUGGGGAUGACGUCAAGUCAUCAUGGCCCUUACGACCAGGGCUACACACGUGCUACAAUGGCGCAUACAAAGAGAAGCGACCUCGCGAGAGCAAGCGGACCUCAUAAAGUGCGUCGUAGUCCGGAUUGGAGUCUGCAACUCGACUCCAUGAAGUCGGAAUCGCUAGUAAUCGUGGAUCAGAAUGCCACGGUGAAUACGUUCCCGGGCCUUGUACACACCGCCCGUCACACCAUGGGAGUGGGUUGCAAAAGAAGUAGGUAGCUUAACCUUCGGGAGGGCGCUUACCACUUUGUGAUUCAUGACUGGGGUGAAGUCGUAACAAGGUAACCGUAGGGGAACCUGCGGUUGGAUCACCUCCUUACCUUAAAGAAGC
rnacentral:rRNA from 1 species